rnacentral:rRNA from 1 species
AUAAUAGAGAGUUUGAUCCUGGCUCAGGGUGAACGCUGGCGGCGCGCUUAAUGCAUGCAAGUCGAGCGUGCCUCGGUGACUUCGGUUGCCGGGGACAGCGGCAGACGGCUGAGUAACGCGUGAGUAACCUACCCUUCGGUAUGGUAUAGCCACGGGAAACUGUGGGUAAUCCCGUAUACGACCCCCAAGCCCUGGUUUGGGGAGGAAAGCCUUCGGGCGCCGGAGGAGGGGCUCGCGUCCUAUCAGGUAGUUGGUGGGGUAACGGCCCACCAAGCCGAUGACGGGUAGCUGGUCUGAGAGGACGACCAGCCAGAGGGGGACUGAGACACGGCCCCCACUCCUACGG